GACCCUGUGGCGGAAUUGGCAGACGCAUCGGACUUAAAAUCCGAGAUCCGGAAACGGGUGUGUGGGUUCGAUUCCCACCGGGGUCACCA
rnacentral:tRNA from 1 species